rnacentral:rRNA from 1 species
CCUACGGGAGGCUGCAGUAGGGAAUUUUGCGCAAUGGGCGAAAGCCUGACGCAGCAACGCCGCGUGAUCGAGACGCCCUUCGGGGUGUAAAGAUCUGUCAGUGGGGACGAAACUUGACGGUACCCACAGAGGAAGCACCGGCAAACUCCGUGCCAGCAGCCGCGGUCAUACGGGGGGUGCAAGCGUUUUCCGGAAUCAUUGGGCGUAAAGAGUUCGUAGGCGGCACGUAAAGUCUGGUGUUAAAGGGAGAGGCUCAACUGCUGUACGGCACUGGAUACUUGCGAGCUAGAAUGCGGUAGAGGUAAAGGGAAUUCCUGGUGUAGCGGUGAAAUGCGUAGAUAUCAGGAGGAACAUCGGUGGCGUAAGCGCUUUACUGGGCCGUAAUUGACGCUGAGGAACGAAAGCCAGGGUAGCAAAUGGGAUUAGAUACCCCAUAGUC